rnacentral:rRNA from 1 species
AUCCUACGGGACGCAGCAGUGGGGGAUAUUGCACAAUGGGGGGAACCCUGAUGCAGCGACGCCGCGUGGGUGAAGGAGCGUUUCGGCGCGUAAAGCCCUAUCGGCAGGGAAGAAGAUGACGGUACCUGACCAAGAAGCCCCGGCUAACUACGUGCCAGCAGCCGCGGUAAUACGUAGGGGGCAAGCGUUAUCCGGAUUUACUGGGUGUAAAGGGAGCGUAGACGGAUAAGCAAGUCUGAUGUGAAAAUCCGGGGCCCAACCCCGGAAUUGCAUUGGAAACUGCAUAUCUAGAGUGCCGGAGAGGG